UUGACUGUGGGCGGGGCCACAUGAAUGGAGAAGGGGAAGACAGCAGCAGCCACACGCAUUGCCCUCUUCUGACUGAUGAUGCAAUGUGAUCAACCGCUUCUCAGACCUAAUGCCUUGACUUCCCUGCCGUAAUGAACUGCACCCUGAACGGAUCUCUCACUGAACCAGGAGCUCACCUAUUCAACUAGCCAGUUUGCCCUAUCUCUGUCUCUGCUUGAAUCCCACUUGAAUGCUGGGAUUACAGGUGGACCACCAUGCCUGGAACCACAGCCCUCACGUUGGCCUUGCACGCAUGUCAUCCAAGUAGCCGGUCCUCAGCUUCUGCACUGGCUUCUUAUAUUGAUGCUGAGAAGAAGGAGAGAACUGACUUUAAAAAGUUGUCUGUUGGGGCUGG